ensembl:lncRNA
GGUGGAGAGAGAAAAAGAAAGAAAGGGGGUGGUAAAUGUCAGUUCCAAAGAGAAACAACAGGGGCUAGAGUUUGAUGGCACAGUAGGACCUAGGUCAUACCGGUGCUUGUUGCUUAAGACUUGUCUAAGUAAAACCAUAGCUGAGUUAAAGCCACCAGUUCAACAACUACUGAAGUGUCCCAUCAAGUGGCCUCAACGUAAAAAUACUCAAUAAGACGUGUGUGUGAAUAUGCCCCUCAAUAAGCUGUUAGACGUGUGUGAAUAUGCCCCUCAAUAAGCUGUUAGAUGUGUGUCUCUAGGCCACAUCAAGCGGUGCCUUAAAG